GAAUUGUAUUUUCAAAAUGCAUUGCUAACACAACUGCACAUGUUUGUUUAUUGGAAAGAACAUCACAAAGGGUGACAAUCCCAUGUGUCAUGUGUAUGUUUUGUGUACAGCGUGCAUUAUAUGAAUCACAUUCAUUGACAAUUGAAUGCAAAUAGAAUGGUAAAUUUCAUUUAAUCAUAAAUAUGUUGUUGACAACUUAUAGCAAACAAAUACCAUGAGGGAAAUGUGAAAAGGAUUUUGAAAAGAAAAUUAAAAGAGCUUGCAAUUGCUGAACUGAUAAGCAAACAAAACAUACGUGUGUAUGCAAGAUUGUUGUAAUGCUUAGCAUCUUAUGCAAGGCUAUUGCAAUGAUUUUUUGUAUAGUGAUGCUACCUUUUUUUAGAAUUUGGAAUGUCUUUUUUUGAGUGUGAAUGGAAUUUUGUUUGNUAGCAAAGGAAUGCACUUUUAGAUUCAUUGUUUGAUUUG
rnacentral:rRNA from 1 species